GCUGGUGUGUGUCUGGCGAGAGUCUGAACUGGCCCCGUGAUGUGGGGAAAACUACUGGAAGUUCCAUCCACCUCGCGGACCCGAUGACCCGGCCAUCCCACAUCCUGUUUGUCCAAGAUAGGGGGGAACUUGUGUUCAACGAGACUUUAUUUUAGGAAAGAAGGACAAGGAAGGAGAUGGACCAGCAGGAGAGACGCGGCAGAGGAACUGCUCCCCUGGACCCCUUGGCCACGAAGGGGCACAGCUUCUACCUCAUGGAGAAUCGAUGCAAAGUGGACUUAUGGGGACGUAAGACCGUGGGCCUCAACGCAAAGGACAAAGUUAGUGUCUUUAAUCUGCGUUGGGAGAAUUCUCCAUCCCGCACUGGCUGAGCCCAGAGAAGACUGGAAAACGGAAAAAGAGGACUCUAGGAAAUUCCCAAUAGGGAACAAUGCGUCUGCUUCAGAGUGUCAACGUGAAAAGCUGCCAUCAGCAAGGAGAAUCUUCCUAAAACAGGUGAGAAAGGGUCUUGGAGAAAAAAUUUUUGUACAACAACAAUGUCUACCCUAUGGUACACCCAAUAUUUGAUAAACAGUGAAAUGUAGGGAAAUAGACCUGAAAAUUCAGGUACAAAGGAAUUGCGACAUUUUUGGAUAAAAAUGCAUUGAACAUCUUGCAAAUACUCAAGAUAGGUCUAACGAGGUAUUUCCCCUGCCUUAAAAAAUCAACCCCAUGUACAUUCUUCUUUUUCUGCCUGUCUCUCUUUCUCACUGUUUUUCUCUCUGUGCAGUGAGAAUCUACAGUGUGCUGAGAAAAAUGUAUCUUUUUCCUGCAGCUGGCUCUGAGCUUGUCUCCUGCAGACAGUGAACGGCCCAGAGAUAAAGCCCAUCCCCACCAGGCCCCACCAGCAAUCUUGUGGAAACAGAGCCCCUGUGUUUGCCUGUGGUGGGGUCUGCCAUGUCUCUCUUUUAGGUGCUUGGCAUGUUGAAAAGAACUGCUGAGUUGGUCAUUGAUGGAGACAUGGCAUUCUUGUACAAGGGGACAGGGAAGACCCCAGGGGACCCUGGGGCUGCCCCCUCUGCAGGUGGCGCUCGCUAGCCAGGAGGCAUGAAGUCACACUCCCCCUGGCUGGGCAGCCUUGCAGGGCUCAGCUUUCAAGGGCCUCAACCCAUUAAUUAAAGAGCCCUCAUGAGCAGAUGCACGGCCUCUGGUCAAGACAGACUUGAACAUUGGUCAAGACAGACUUGAACACGCGGUAACAGGUGCAGAUGAAAGCUGGCACUCGGGGCCUGUGGGUUCCGUUCCUACUUCCUGUCUUGCUCCCUCUUACACAGUCGCCAUGUCUCAACUAAAGAUGCUCUUUGCUUGUCCUAAAGUGGUAGCAUGUGUUGGCUGCACUGGUCUGUGUCUCACUGAAUCCCUGUGUUGCUGAACAUGACUGUGGAUCUAAGUAAAGCCAGAGGAACUAGGCCGCCCCCAAGGUAUCCUAGAUUUUUCCCCAGGUGACAAGGUAGAGGUGUCUCCUUUUAGGGCAUGGUUCAGCACAUGCUUACCAUACAUGGAAUUUCGACAACACCUUAGGUGGGAA
rnacentral:lncRNA from 1 species